AUGAGAGAAUCCAGAGUAACCUACGUCGGAGGUGAAGGAGAUGAAGGCGUGACUCUAGGAGCUGGUUUUCGUAGCAGCCUGAUUUCAUCUUCUAUUUGCCGGAUGCCUAGCGAACUGGUUCCACUUAUCAAUUUAUGCAGGUCUGUUAGAAACUGUUGUUUGCUUGAACUUGUUUCACAUGAAUUCUGGAUUUUCUUUGAACACCAUGCGGGUGUCAACUUGAAUGUGUCGUCUUUUGAAUUUGCAGGCUUAUCAAAAAAGAGAAUUGCUUGCCCAUGA